CAGUGGCAUGAUUGACGUUACAGCAAUCAUAAAAAUCAACACUUGUUUAUAUUCCAAAUAAAUCAAUCCCCACCAAUCAGCAACGAGGCCUAUCAAGAUAGGCAUAUAAAUGGAAAAUGUUUAACCAAAUAUUCUCCUUCAAAUAGUGAGGACCUUUAGUGCUCCAGUGGCAGUUAAGCUCAGGGUUUCCUUGCCUUCAUCUGACUUCCUUGCCAACCAUGAGAGCCUGCCACCCCUGCGGGCAGUAUAGACAUGAAGAGAGAGCACUCAGCUUCUGCUUUAGCACUGAUUGCCCACAUCGCAGCCUGCACCAUCCUUGCUGACUCCCUUUGGACUCAAGACUUUGCCCAAGUCUUGUCUGUUCCAUUAGGUUCUAUUCCUUUGUCUCCCUGGUUCUAAAGUUGAACAGGUCCCUUUCUCCUAACUGAAAGUCCUCUCCUUCACUCUAGAGAGGAGGUCUGUUGAAUUCCACGUGAUGGGGAAGCCUUAUGAGUUGUAGAUCUUCGUUGUCCUGUUUCUUGAAUCCAGCUAAUAUAAAGGGCAAGACACCAGCAAAGUUUUCACCAAUACACUCUAUUAUAGGUGGUCUUACACAGGAGAAGUCAGAUUUUGGAGUUUUCAAGAAUCCAAUUUCUCCUUAUUUUGAUCUUAAAUGAUCCCAGUGUGCUAAAAAUACUCCAGAGAUUCUUAGAGUAUAUAGAUCCCUCUUCAAUAUUAAGAAAAUAAAGAGAAAAGUUUUUUGUCAUGAUGGAUUGGAAGGUAUGCAACCCAAUUACUGAAAAUCAAUUCUCCUUAAUCAGAAAACAGAGUUAAUUCCUGACACUGGCCUUGCCAUGAUGUGAUAUUUGUAGAGAAUUAAAAUAUCAUGAUAACACAAAUCAUUCUGACUUGUGGGAUUUCUAACAAAAAGAUUAAAACUGCAUUCUGCAGCCACGCAAAUUAGCAUAGACCUCUUCUACAGCCUCAGACACAGGAACAAAACAGGAGCAGUUCUCAAUAAAACUAAACUGUUGAAAAUAGGAAGGCAGAACUCAAAACAGUAAAUAGGAGCCUUCAAUUCUUUGUUUCCGUAAGCUGCUGAAGCUGAGCCCCCUGGUGCAUCACUGCAAGUACUGCUAUGUACAGAGAUGGCCAUUGGAAGUCCAAAUGGCUGAUUGUUUUCAG
rnacentral:lncRNA from 1 species